UCCAUUCUGCUGGGUUGCCACCACAUACUGCUAGGUGUCACUAGUGGAUUGUGAGACUCGAAGGCAUUCACUUGGUGAUCAGUGAAUCCUAAGAGUAGAACUGAAAUCGUUUCAGUCCACUGAAAGAAGUUUCAGUGAUAUUGAGAUGGAGAUCUCAAUAUUUCUCACUACUAGUCAGAAUAGAACCUAUGAGGUCACACACAUAGAGAAUUUAAUUAGUCAGACUAUCAUUAAUUAUGAUUUGGAAUCAUAAUAGAAAUCAAUCAUCAAUAUGAUUGGUGAUUGAAUUAACC
rnacentral:lncRNA from 1 species